CAGUGGACCAGAGGCAGACCAGUGGACCAGUGGACCAGAGGCAGACCAGAGGCAGACCAGUGGACCAGAGGCAGACCAGCAGACCAGUGGAGCAGUGGCAGACCAGUGGACCAGAGGCAGACCAGUGGAGCAGUGGACCAGAGGCAGACCAGAGGACCAGAGGCAGACCAGUGGACCAGAGG